rnacentral:rRNA from 1 species
GGGAGCCGGAGGGAAACCGAGUCUUAACCGGGCGUUAAGUUGCAGGGUAUAGACCCGAAACCCGGUGAUCUAGCCAUGGGCAGGUUGAAGGUUGGGUAACACUAACUGGAGGACCGAACCGACUAAUGUUGAAAAAUUAGCGGAUGACCUGUGGCUGGGGGUGAAAGGCCAAUCAAACCGGGAGAUAGCUGGUUCUCCCCGAAAGCUAUUUAGGUAGCGCCUCGUGAAUUCAUCUCCGGGGGUAGAGCACUGUUUCGGCUAGGGGGCCAUCCCGGCUUACCAACCCGAUGCAAACUGCGAAUACCGGAGAAUGUUAUCACGGGAGACACACGGCGGGUGCUAACGUCCGUCGUGAAGAGGGAAACAACCCAGACCGCCAGCUAAGGUCCCAAAGUCAUGGUUAAGUGGGAAACGAUGUGGGAAGGCCCAGACAGCCAGGAUGUUGGCUUAGAAGCAGCCAUCAUUUAAAGAAAGCGUAAUAGCUCACUGGUCGAGUCGGCCUGCGCGGAAGAUGUAACGGGGCUAAACCAUGCACCGAAGCUGCGGCAGCGACGCUUAUGCGUUGUUGGGUAGGGGAGCGUUCUGUAAGCCUGUGAAGGUGUGUCGUGAGGCAUGCUGGAGGUAUCAGAAGUGCGAAUGCUGACAUAAGUAACG